UACGUAGGGGGCAAGCGUUGUCCGGAUUUAUUGGGCGUAAAGAGCGUGUAGGCGGCCAUGUAGGUCCGUUGUGAAAACUCGAGGCUCAACCUCGAGACGCCGAUGGAAACCAUGUGGCUAGAGUCCGGAAGAGGAGAGUGGAAUUCCCGGUGUAGCGGUGAAAUGCGCAGAUAUCGGGAGGAACACCGGUGGCGAAGGCGGUUCUCUGGGCCUUACCUGACGCUGAGGAGCGAAAGCGUGGGGAGCGAACAGG
rnacentral:rRNA from 1 species